GCAGGGUUGCAUUUCUCUCAAUAUUUUUGGUUCAGCUGUGUUAUGAAUGAAGACGAUAAAGUUGUACAGAAGAUUGUGCCCAAAUACAGCAGUAUGCUAGAGGAGCACGCCCGCUGAUGUACCACGCGAGAGGGCGACCUGAGGAUGCUUCUUGAUGAAAUACAACAUGAUUAUUCUACCAUAUCGGGUCAGGUUCGAUGGUAAUUUAAUCGACGACUACAUAUUUCCUGAAUCAGGUUCAGUAUGCUAAAGGGGCACGGCCGCUGCCGUACCUGAGGUUGGUACACCAGUGACGGCUUGCUGCAUCUUUCAGCGGUUGAGACAACCGCUCCAUACACGUUUGCAUCAUCUCCGUCCUCUCA